rnacentral:piRNA from 1 species
UNCAAGUGGAAGUGCCUGUGAAGGUUACACUC